rnacentral:tRNA from 1 species
GCGGGCAUUGUAUAAUGGCCAUUACCUCAGCCUUCCAAGCUGAUGAUGUGGGUUCACAACCCCCGCAGACCGUU